rnacentral:rRNA from 1 species
CAGUCGCCACGGGAAUACGUAGGUGGCAAGCGUUGUCCGGAAUUAUUGGGCGUAAAGGGCUCGCAGGCGGUUUCUUAAGUCUGAUGUGAAAGCCCCCGGUUCAACCGGGGAGGGUCAUUGGAAACUGGGAAACUUGAGUGCAGAAGAGGAGAGUGGAAUUCCACGUGUAGCGGUGAAAUGCGUAGAGAUGUGGAGGAACACCAGUGGCGAAGGCGACUCUCUGGUCUGUAACUGACGCUGAGGAGCGAAAGCGUGGGGAGCGAACAGGAUUAGAUACCCCUGUAGUCCCUGUCUCUUAUAC